GGGGAUUUAGCUCAGCGGCAUAAGCGCCUGCCUGGCAAGCAUGAGGUUGCGAAUUCAAUCCCCU
rnacentral:tRNA from 1 species